AAAUUUGAGGGGUCCCUACUUCAUCAUCACAAUCUUGAAAUGUCUGCCGCUUUGUAGGCGUCAAGGGGAGUCCAAGCAGUGGAUCAUGGUCUGAUGUCACAGUCAGGGAUUGCUGGAUAAAACAAAUAGCAAUGAAUAAGUUUAAUGCUAAGUUGAAAGCCAUGAAGUGUCAAAAUGCAAGAAUUGCAAGAAAGAUCAUAUUAAAAAAUGAGAGCAG
rnacentral:lncRNA from 1 species